GUCACCUCUCACUGGGACUACAGGACUUCAUAUGGCGUUUCUUGAAAGGCAAAACUGUCAUCACUUCCACUGACAGUUCCAUAGGUGUGGGCAUCACCUGCUACAGCAAAUCCAGUAAGCCCCCUCCAACCUGGCAGCACCACUGCAGGUCCUCAUGCCUGGUCCUGCCCUGGCAGAACCUCCACACCCACUCGGCUAGAGGAGAUGGGAGCAGUCCUAGGAAAGAACGCCUCAGACAUCCACUGUUCUUACCCAACGUUCAGCAUGUUGUCAAGCUUAAACACUUCUCAGAUUGUUGUAUGAGUUUUAUUGAUUUCCAGAGCACCAAAAUAGUUGUUCUUGUCAAUUUUGUUCAGACUUAUAGUUGCUUUCUGGGGAGAGGAUUUGCUGACUUUUCACAUGGCUGUAGCUGGAAAUACGCUUCCACCUCCAGUGUUUCUGAUUCAUUAGACCCGGGGUGCAACUGGAGAAUUUGCAUAGCCCAAAAAAGAAGUGUGUUACAGUUCCUCCCCCACUCUCUCUCUUGCUCCUGCUUUCACCAUGUGAAAUGCCUGCUCCCACGUUGCCUUCUGCCAUGAAUAAAAGCUCCCUGAGGCCCCCCAUGAAGCUGAGUGAUGUUGGUGCCA
rnacentral:lncRNA from 1 species